CCAAAAAAUUGGCGGGAAAAGUU
rnacentral:snRNA from 1 species